AUUCCAACCAAAUGUUAACUUGUUAGGUUAGUAUAAUUUCAUUUCAUGCCUCAUUGCUGGUGCACGUGUUUCAAAUGAAACAGAGUGGCCCCAGCAAAACCACAUCAAUGAUCAAUAGAUCGUUGUUGAGAUACUUGGACUAUACAUUGCUUCAUAAAGACAGCAUUGUUCAAGAACAUGAUAAAGUGAACAGGACCUGUUUACAGAAAAUUAUACCAUAAUGACAGCAUGACCCGAGUACAUGAAAAAGUGAACAGGACAUCUAAACAGAACUUUAUUCCACGAUGACAGCAUCACCCAAGUAGAUGAAAAACGUAAUCCAGUCAUCUAGGAAGAUUAUUUUUUCACAAUUGCAGCAUCACCCAAGUAGAUGAAAAACGUAAUCCAGUCAUCUAGGAAGAUUAUUUUUUCACAAUUGCAGCAUCACCCAAGUAGAUGAAAAACGUAAUCCAGUCAUCUAGGAAGAUUAUUUUUUCACAAUUGCAGCAUGACCUGAGUAGAUGAAGAAGUAAACAGGACAUCUGAACAAACAUUAUUCCAGGAAGACAGCAUCACCCAAGUAGAUGAAAAACGUAAUCUGGUCGUCUAAGAAGGUUAUUUUUUCACAAUUGCAGCAUGACCUGAGUAGAUGAAGAAGUAAACAGGGCAGACAGCAUGACCUAAGUGGAUGAAAAAGUUUGCAGUACAUCUGAAAAGGAUUCAGGUAAUUAUUUCAAUUAAAGGUAUUACAGACAUCAAUAACUUUCAAUUUGAUGUUUAAUGCACCACACUGAGCCUAUUUUGAUGACUCAAUUAUACCAAAUCCAUCAUCUGAUUUAAAUAUCUAUAAUUUCAGGAGAUUAAUAUUUAUUUUUAUCAUUGCAAUUAUUAUUUUUUCAGUCAUGAUGCUGACAUAAUUGAAAGCUCAUGCUAUCUUUUGGCUACUAAUUGAAAUUCUAUUAUUUUACAUUAAUUUUUACUAAUGAUGAAAUAUUGAUGUAAUCUUAUAUAUUUCAUUAUAAA